rnacentral:tRNA from 1 species
UUAUGUGCCUGAAUAAAGGGUUAAUUUGAUAGAUUAAACAAUGAAAUAUAUCAA